GCCCAGCUGGCUCAGUGAGUACAGCAUGCAACUCUUGACCUUGGGAUAUGAGUUCGAGUCCCAUGUUGGGCA
rnacentral:tRNA from 1 species